rnacentral:rRNA from 1 species
GUGAGCCUACGGGGCGCAGCAGUGGGGAAUAUUGGGCAAUGGAGGAAACUCUUACCCAGCAAUGCCGCGUGAAUGAAGAAGGUCUUCGGAUUGUAAAGUUCUUUAAUUGGGGACGAAAAAAAUGACGGUACCCAAGGAAUAAGCCCCGGCUAACUACGUGCCAGCAGCCGCGGUAAUACGGAGGAUGCGAGCGUUAUCCGGAUUUAUUGGGUUUAAAGGUUGCGUAGGCGGGCUUUUAAGUCAGCGGUAAAAAUUCGGGGCUCAACCCCGUCCGGCCGUUGAAACUGUGGGCCUUGAGUGGGCGG